rnacentral:rRNA from 1 species
UACGUAGGGUGCAAGCGUUAAUCGGAAUUACUGGGCGUAAAGCGUGCGCAGGCGGUUGUGCAAGACAGAUGUGAAAUCCCCGGGCUUAACCUGGGAACUGCAUUUGUGACUGCACGGCUGAGUGCGGCAGAGGGGGGAUGGAAUUCCGCGUGUAGCAGUGAAAUGCGUAGAGAUGUGGAGGAACACCGAUGGCGAAGGCAGCCCCCUGGGUUAACACUGACGCUCAGGCACGAAAGCGUGGGGAGCAAACAGG